rnacentral:rRNA from 1 species
UGCUCGCGCGCUGAGGUCCCAAC